rnacentral:rRNA from 1 species
CGAACGCUGGCGGCGUGCUUAACACAUGCAAGUCGAACGGAAAGGCCCUGCUUUUGUGGGGUGCUCGAGUGGCGAACGGGUGAGUAACACGUGAGUAACCUGCCCUUGACUUUGGGAUAACUUCAGGAAACUGGGGCUAAUACCGGAUAGGAGCUCCUGCUGCAUGGUGGGGGUUGGAAAGUUUCGGCGGUUGGGGAUGGACUCGCGGCUUAUCAGCUUGUUGGUGGGGUAGUGGCUUACCAAGGCUUUGACGGGUAGCCGGCCUGAGAGGGUGACCGGCCACAUUGGGACUGAGAUACGGCCCAGACUCCUACGGGAGGCAGCAGUGGGGAAUAUUGCACAAUGGGCGGAAGCCUGAUGCAGCAACGCCGCGUGCGGGAUGACGGCCUUCGGGUUGUAAACCGCUUUCGCCUGUGACGAAGCGUGAGUGACGGUAAUGGGUAAAGAAGCACCGGCUAACUACGUGCCAGCAGCCGCGGUGAUACGUAGGGUGCGAGCGUUGUCCGGAUUUAUUGGGCGUAAAGGGCUCGUAGGUGGUUGAUCGCGUCGGAAGUGUAAUCUUGGGGCUUAACCCUGAGCGUGCUUUCGAUACGGGUUGCCUUGAGGAAGGUAGGGGAGAAUGGAAUUCCUGGUGGAGCGGUGGAAUGCGCAGAUAUCAGGAGGAACACCAGUGGCGAAGGCGGUUCUCUGGGCCUUGCCUGACGCUGAGGAGCGAGAGCGUGGGGAGCGAACAGGCUUAGAUACCCUGGUAGUCCACGCUGUAAACGGUGGGUACUAGGUGUGGGGUCCAUUCCACGGGUUCCGUGCCGUAGCUAACGCUUUAAGUACCCCGCCUGGGGAGUACGGCCGCAAGGCUAAAACUCAAAGGAAUUGACGGGGCCCCGCACAAGCGGCGGAGCAUGCGGAUUAAUUCGAUGCAACGCGUAGAACCUUACCUGGGUUUGACAUGGAUCGGGAGUGCUCAGAGAUGGGUGUGCCUCUUUUGGGGUCGGUUCACAGGUGGUGCAUGCCUGUCGUCAGCUCGUGUCGUGAGAUGUUGGGUUAAGUCCCGCAACGAGCGCAACCCUUGUUCACUGUUGCCAGCACGUUAUGGUGGGGACUCAGUGGAGACCGCCGGGGUCAACUCGGAGGAAGGUGGGGAUGACGUCAAGUCCUCAUGCCCCUUAUGUCCAGGGCUUCACGCAUGCUACAAUGGCUGGUACAGAGAGUGGCGAGCCUGUGAGGGUGAGCGAAUCUCGGAAAGCCGGUCUCAGUUCGGAUUGGGGUCUGCAACUCGACCUCAUGAAGUCGGAGUCGCUAGUAAUCGCAGAUCAGCAACGCUGCGGUGAAUACGUUCCCGGGGCUUGUACACACCGCCCGUCAAGUCAUGAAAGUUGGUAACACCCGAAGCCGGUGGCCUAACCGUUGUGGGGGAGCCGUCGAAGGUGGGACUGGUGAUUAG